AGAUUCCCUCGGGAAUAAUACGUAUUUUCCACAUGAAAAUUCUGUAUAUAAAGUCGGAAAACCGAGGAAAUUUCUACACAGUCCAUCCAAACAUCUCCAAUGGCUUUGUUCAAGAAGAUGAUCUUAGUCGUCGUGGUUCUGUUCUUUGCGGCAGCCGAAGCCCAAUAUACUUAUUCUAAGAAACCUUGCAAACAACUUGAGAAAGAAAGAUUCUUGUUCGGACAAUGAGAAAAUAUCGUUUAUUGAGCAAAGGAAAUGAAUUGGGACGACUUUAA